GACUACUCGGUCCAGGUUAAAGCUUGUCUUCUACCACACGGUACUAUAAACGGUGUUUUCAAAUCUACUGAUCUGUAUGGAUAAACUUUUUUGGCAUUUCUACAUCAAAUGACAAUUUUCAAUAUUCGAGGUUUUUAUCCCUUCGAAGGAGUGUUCUUUUUUUCUCUUUGCAAAUGCAGUGUGAAGUUCAUUUUGUGCUGUUAAGCCAAUUCUGUUUAAGGGUUGAUGACUUGCUUAACUAGCAAAGAGUUCAUAAUGGCAGACCAGACAUGACAGGAUCAUCAAGACAGAUUCAUGCCUUUCCAUGGCAAGAUAUUUACAUUUUUCAUGAGAAAAGCAGUGCUUAAUAUUACAUGUAAAUUUCUUUAUUCUUUAAUUGUUCUUGUGAAACUGCACAAGAGAUUUUCCACAGGGAUAACCAAUUUCAUGAGUUCGAGUUUGAAGUGGUUUGAUCUGUAAUAUAGCUUGUCAGUUAAUCCUGACUUAUUCUUUCUUAUACUCUAGAAAAAGUAUUGCCAUUGGCAAAAUGCAGUCGAUGAGAAGGAUUUUGUGUUUGUUCAAAGUAGUCGGUCAGAAGGAAUAUGCGUUUGAAUAUAGCUACUAGCAGUCUUGUUCAAGUUCUCAUCCUCAGAUUAGAGCACGUGCUGCUGAAGAGAUGCCCUCUCAUCAAUUGAUGGAUAAACUUUACAUGCGAAAAUUUGCUUGCUGCCGCAUCAUUUUACAGAAAUUAUAAAAAAACUUGGUUUUAGCAGUUACUGAGCUUUAAUUGUCAGGGUAAAGAAAAUGACACUGCAGUGUACUCGCAGAGAACCAUGGUGUAAAAUGUGCAGGAGAUCCGACUGUGGCACUUGCUAAUGCAUUUGCUCAGUUGUGUUAAUGAUACAGAGGACACAUUUGCACUCGGCACACGUAGCAUGCCUUUGCCUUGCUGCGCCUCCUCUCCUUUUUUUUUUCCAAGGUGCUUGCACAAAUACAGCGCACCACAUGCUGUUGUAAUCAGAUAAUAAAUUGCCAUCUUGAGAAGCAGCUUUUACGCAGCCAAAGAGGGCUGCAUAGCAGACAAGAAAAUAAGAAAGCUGCAUGGUUUGUCCGAUUUUAAAAAUGUGCUUUGCAUUGCUUGAUUAGUGGAUAAGAUUUGGAAGCUUAAAUCAGCUGCUUUCAUUCGAUCCCAGCUUGUGUCAAACGCUGAUCAUGCAACGCAGUUGUCACGGCACACUGUAUUAUUUCUCUCAUGGUUGCAGCCUCCAGCUAGCACGCAUUGGUUUUCCUAUGUUUUGUCGAAUUCGAGGAUGAUUUCUCGGCACGCAUGUAAUGGUUUCAGGUUAAGCUCGUUUGAUGGUGAAUUAGAGAGGCCAAGAACACCUUUGUUCUCGGGUGACGGUGCGGAUACGGCAAAGGAAAUGAAAAAUUUCCUCUUAGUGUCCCGUGAUCGAUGGGUUGUUUAGGUUGUGAAGCAAGGAAGUUCCUAAGAGCUGCCUCCAUGUUCCUAAGACCAUAGCUGCAAAACUGAAUGUAGUUGCAGGUUUAGUUUCUGGUUAUAGUGCAUUCCUGGUCCCAUUUAUUUUGUCUUUUAAGUGCUCUUUUCUUUUUCAAAUAAUCAUUGUGUCGUGAUAUAUGCAUGAUAUAUGCAUGCGGAAAAUCUAGCAAAAGCCUAGGUAUUCCUGAUGGUCCAGUUGCUACUAUAAUACCGUGAACAGACUGUGGAAUGGAGAUAGCGGGAGCUUCAUGUGAAAACUUGGUGCGGAUUUCGAGCGAGACCAUUUAUCCAAAGUGAUCAUGAUGAGCGAAUAUCCACAUGUAAGUAUCUGCAGUGGAAGCUGAAGGAGACGACAAAGAUUGAUGUACACUGAUUUGCUGAAGGCGAUGUACAGCACAAGCAUCUGUAGUUGGAGGUGAAACAAACAAGGGGCGAACGGGACGACUGUCGUUGGUGACACAGCGGUGAAAAAAACGCACAAGAUCUAGCAGCUGGUGCGAAGUAAUGCCAAGUGACGCGAUCUGUACAAGUGGCAAAACAGCCGUUUCGCCUCAUCAAAAGGGAAACACUGCUAUCACAUCAGUUGGCUAUCCUGUAUAUCUUACAAUGUGCAGAGAACGUAGUUUAGGCAAGGUAAUACAUAGUAUGGAAUUUUCCCUUGUUUGGUUUGUGUGUGUUUGCAUUAGUUUAAGUGACAGAAACACAAUCUGGUGGAUUAGUUACAUUCAGUACUUUGUAGUUUCAUUUUGCUUUUGCUGAAAGUAAUAAAAAAAUAAUGUUAGUACUUGUUUACAGUGCCCCGGUAAAGGUAAACAAUCUUUUUAUUAAUCCACAGAAGUGUGGCUGUGUUGUCCUUCACCAGCAAAUGUGGUGCCAUUCGAACCUCUCUAAAUGUCUUUUUUUUUCUAGCGUAGGUUUUUUGUUUUCUAUUAGAUAAAUUUCUUUCAUUCAUAUUCAUAUUUUUCAUUUUGUAUUCUGGGCGUGUUCUAAUAUCAUUUAAGGGCUUCAUUCUGGUGCAUUUUGGUGCGGAAAAAGUGUCAUUUUAGUUUUAUAGCCGAGUGUGUGAUGCAGUCGUAAAUAGAAGGAGUAGUUUUCAUAUAUUUAGGUAUAUAAUGUCAAAAUUUCAUGCCACAUUCAACCUCUAUGUAUUGCCAGCAGGAAUUUGUAUGUAUAGAGCGAUAGGAAAUUGUGUGAGACAUGUACUGCAGUGUUGCCCAAACAGUAAUAUGUGGGUUGAGUUGUCCAAGGUUAUCAUGUAUUUGGCCUACAAGUGUGGCUGAUUACCAGGUUUAGCACUAUAGUUCAGUUGUGCAAUGCCUCAUUUGCAUCGCUUUCGGUGCUCUCUGUGACUUUGCAGGUUCCUCAGCGUUGGGGUCCGUGGAGCAGUGCGAGUCGCUCGUGUGCCACCUCUGUCCGCAGACAUUCGCUCAGAAAGCCCACCUGGAACAGCAUGUGCGCAGCCACACAGGAGAGCGUCGCUACCAGUGCCAUCUGUGCCUGGAGACAUUCACUAGUAGCUACAACCGUACGCGCCAUCUGCGCAGCCACACAGGAGAGCGUCCCUACAAGUGCCACCUUUGCCGAAGCACAUUCACCCAGAGUGCCCACCUGAAACAGCAUCUGCAGGUCCACACAGGAGAGCGUCCCUUUUCCUGCGUGCACUGCAGUGCAACCUUUUUGCGGAAGGAGAAACUCUUGGCCCACAUGUCCUGUCAUGGAAGGAAGAAGACCUAAAGGUGCCGCCAGUGUUCUUGCAGCUUGAAAACCCUGUCUGAGGAAUUUGGAAACUUCAAAGAGGUGCAAGUUUGUGCCUACUAAGCCUCCGCAUCUGCAUGCUUAUCUUCAGGGAAGCCGACAGCCAAGACCACAGCCAAAGCAGCAGCCAGAGUUGUAAUAUCGAGCAGGGCACAUCCCGCUUGAACACUUGAUUUCUCGUCGCAGCCUGCUGAUCAGGAGCCUGCACAGUUGAAGCCAUGGUUGCCACCACAGUUCCCUCUUUCAAUGUUGCCAAAAAUUUAGCAUUUGUAUUAUGUAUUGUUGAGAGAUAAUGCGAGCGCGUCUGGGCAUUGUGCACUAUUUACUCUUUGAAACACAUUCUGAAAUCUAUGUUACCCAGUGAGAUUUAUAUUGGGGUACAUUUUCUUCAAAUAAAUGCGUAGUCUAGAUGCGAGCCAACAGAUUAAAUUGGGCAAGUUCAUUGUUUGCCGCUGAAGUAAGCGCGGUACAGAGUGACAGGUUCAUAAUGCCCUUUCUGCAUUCCAUUUUCUCUUCUCUUGUUGUGCUACGUUUUAUUUGUGUGUUUAUUUAUAUUGAUACGUAUGAUGGGGGCUAUGGGAAGAUUGUGGAAAUUGUCCCAUGUAUCACAUGUCUUGUGCUCUGUGCUUAUUCUGUCCACAAAACCUGUGUCUGGCCCUUAUAUAUGGGCCAUUUAUUACUAAGGGUGACGCCUGAUAUGAGUGCAUGUACUCUCAGCUUAAAUUUUGAAUCAAGCCUUCAACACAUCCUUUUUUUAAGGGUAUUUGCCUAAUGUGCCUUCUAAACCUCUUUUUCCUCUUGAGUACAAUGAAUGUUGAAGUUAUAUAUGCUUUAAUACUAUCGACAUGUUUCUCCUAAGUUACCUUAUAGAUUUGCGUUGUCUUUAUACAGUCUCAUUAGGACCGUGACCUAAGGUAUAUGUGUACGUGGUGCAUGCUGUCAGCGCGUAUUGAAUGUAGCUAGCCCUAUGAGAUAAUGAGCUUCUUUUGACUUCUUUUUCUGGGCUGCAAAAGCCUAACGCUAUAGUUGUUCUUGCGAAGAAAUUUUGUGGUUGUCUCCUAGAUCAUAAUUCUUUUACUAGUGGCUCAUUAGCAGCAAAUAGCAGGUGGUGUAAGGAUGCUUUGCUCUCUGUGGUCUCAUAUGUGUUUAGCAGAAGUUGGAAUCUGAAGCCAACAUUAGGGUGACUACACCAAAUACUAAUCUUCCUGAAGUGACACAUGUGCAAGAAACAGUGAAAUAUGCAUGUUCUUUCUAAUUUCAGUAGUUGUAAUUUAAAGUGCACUUUUCUUUAAUUAGUUACCAUAAGGUUACCUGGAAUAGUGGUUAUUUAGGAACAAUAAAAAGGUAGUAACAUGAGGGUGAUCAAUGGUAGAUAUGGACUGAUAAGUGUUUAUUUUCAGUGUCCUUUAAUAUUGCGGUUAUCAAUACAUGAUUUGCUGGCAUGUUACCAAUGCAUAGUUUUACUCUUGUUUUCUUGAAUCUUAUGGUGUUCAGAGAAAGCGAUGCAAUUAGCCCGAAGAAUUGAUGCUGCUGCACAAAGAAUAUGUGUUUCUGGACCCAAGGAAAGACUGCAUGUUAUCUGGUUUCAAGUACACCACCUUUUUGCAUUGUACAUUAUGUCUCAGUUGCGAACGUUGGUCCCUGAACUGCAUUUGUUUUCACCUUGCACUUUACUGGUAUUCAAUAAAUGUCAAUACUGUGUUACGGCA